rnacentral:rRNA from 1 species
CAGUAAGCUCUCCGAUAGGUGACCUGCGGAGGGAUCAUU